rnacentral:rRNA from 1 species
AUUGAACGCUGGCGGCAUGCCUUACACAUGCAAGUCGAACGGUAACGCGGGGCAACUUGGCGACGAGUGGCGAACGGGUGAGUAAUGUAUCGGAACGUGCCCAGUAGGGGGGGAUAGCCCGGCGAAAGCCGGAUUAAUACCGCAUACGACCGGAGGGUGAAAGCGGGGGAUCGCAAGACCUCGCGCGAUUGGAGCGGCCGAUAGCGGAUUAGCUAGUUGGUGGGGUAAAGGCCUACCAAGGCGACGAUCUGUAGCUGGUCUGAGAGGACGACCAGCCACACUGGGACUGAGACACGGCCCAGACUCCUACGGGAGGCAGCAGUGGGGAAUUUUGGACAAUGGGCGAAAGCCUGAUCCAGCCAUGCCGCGUGCGGGAAGAAGGCCUUCGGGUUGUAAACCGCUUUUGUCAGGGAAGAAAAGGCUCGAACUAAUACUUUGGGCUCAUGACGGUACCUGAAGAAUAAGCACUGGCUAACUACGUGCCAGCCGCCGCCGUAACAC